GGCAGACCAGGGCAUCAUAUGUUUGGGAAACAGAAUAAUACAAAUGACUAUGUAAACAUGCACUGGCUCGUGAGAAGGAGAAGAAAGUGAACGUUUUAAUAGAUGAUGACAAAAAAAAAUCAUAGGAGAAGAACAAGAGUAGGAAUUAAAACAUUGUUCGUAUCAGCUAAAAAUUUCAGAAACACAAAAAGUUUACAGUAACUGUCAAAUAUUAUACAUUUAUCCUAUACUACACGGACCGAUGGCUUCAUUCCCUACUCCAUGUCUCAAUUAUAUCAAAUCAUAAAUUCUGCAGACCUUAAAAGUAAGUAAAUUUCAUGUUCAAUGUUCAGAGAGAAGAUGAUCUUCAACUGCAUCUCUACUGACUUUGAACCUUUUUGGGAGAAACCAGCUCUCAGGGAACUGCACAAGCAUCAGAGGAAGACCACGAGAAGCAAUAGCUUGAAGCUGAAUGAAGGCAAACAUCUCUAAAAGUGUAUAAACCCUAGUUCCCUAGAGUAAGAGGGAGGAACAAAGAAAGCUUCAAUCUCGAAGCGAGGCGAUUUGGGUUCAAGGAAAGUGAAGAGGAGGGUGGUUUUAGAGCAGAGAGAGAGUGGGGCAGGGCUUAAAAAUCGCACGAAAGCCGAGGAAGCCAAGGAGACAAUGGGGUGGUGGUAGGGGCUUUUUUCGCGUAUCCGA
rnacentral:misc_RNA from 1 species